rnacentral:rRNA from 1 species
CAGGCUUAACACAUGCAAGUCGAGGGGCAGCAUGGUCUUAGCUUGCUAAGACUGAUGGCGACCGGCGCACGGGUGAGUAACACGUAUCCAACCUGCCGUCUACUCUUGGACAGCCUUCUGAAAGGAAGAUUAAUACAAGAUGGCAUCAUGAGUCCACAUGUUCACAUGAUUAAAGGUAUUCCGGUAGACGAUGGGGAUGCGUUCCAUUAGAUAGUAGGCGGGGUAACGGCCCACCUAGUCUUCGAUGGAUAGGGGUUCUGAGAGGAAGGUCCCCCACAUUGGAACUGAGACACGGUCCAAACUCCUACGGGAGGCAGCAGUGAGGAAUAUUGGUCAAUGGGCGAGAGCCUGAACCAGCCAAGUAGCGUGAAGGAUGACUGCCCUAUGGGUUGUAAACUUCUUUUAUAAAGGAAUAAAGUCGGGUAUGCAUACCCGUUUGCAUGUACUUUAUGAAUAAGGAUCGGCUAACUCCGUGCCAGCAGCCGCGGUAAUACGGAGGAUCCGAGCGUUAUCCGGAUUUAUUGGGUUUAAAGGGAGCGUAGAUGGAUGUUUAAGUCAGUUGUGAAAGUUUGCGGCUCAACCGUAAAAUUGCAGUUGAUACUGGAUAUCUUGAGUGCAGUUGAGGCAGGCGGAAUUCGUGGUGUAGCGGUGAAAUGCUUAGAUAUCACGAAGAACUCCGAUUGCGAAGGCAGCCUGCUAAGCUGCAACUGACAUUGAGGCUCGAAAGUGUGGGUAUCAAACAGGAUUAGAUACCCUGGUAGUCCACACGGUAAACGAUGAAUACUCGCUGUUUGCGAUAUACGGCAAGCGGCCAAGCGAAAGCGUUAAGUAUUCCACCUGGGGAGUACGCCGGCAACGGUGAAACUCAAAGGAAUUGACGGGGGCCCGCACAAGCGGAGGAGCAUGUGGUUUAAUUCGAUGAUACGCGAGGAACCUUACCCGGGCUUAAAUUGCAGAUGAAUUACGGUGAAAGCCGUAAGCCGCAAGGCAUCUGUGAAGGUGCUGCAUGGUUGUCGUCAGCUCGUGCCGUGAGGUGUCGGCUUAAGUGCCAUAACGAGCGCAACCCUUGUUGUCAGUUACUAACAGGUUCCGCUGAGGACUCUGACAAGACUGCCAUCGUAAGAUGUGAGGAAGGUGGGGAUGACGUCAAAUCAGCACGGCCCUUACGUCCGGGGCUACACACGUGUUACAAUGGGGGGUACAGAGGGCCGCUACCACGCGAGUGGAUGCCAAUCCCCAAAACCUCUCUCAGUUCGGACUGGAGUCUGCAACCCGACUCCACGAAGCUGGAUUCGCUAGUAACCGCGCAUCAGCCACGGCGCGGUGAAUACGUUCCCGGGCCUUGUACACACCGCCCGUCAAGCCAUGGGAGCCGGGGGUACCUGAAGUGCGUAACCGCGAGGAGCGCCCUAGGGUAAAACUGGUGACUGGGGCUAAGUC